UUGUUACUAAGUGGCCAGAGCUUGGUGGGCUAAUGGGUGAGUGAGGCCUCUCGUCUAGGUAGUCUGCGGGUCAAGGCUGUCCAGGAGGAUGUUACUGCUGGGCGCAGAUUUCUGCGUGUCCUCCCCAGUAAUAACAUCUAACUGUUCUCGUUGUUCUCUUGGGUUGUUGUCUUGUCCUUGUGUUGUUGUCCUCUCCUUCGGUUGUUGUCCUCUCCUUCGGUUGUUGUCCUCUCCUUCGGUUGUUGUCCUCUCCUUCGGUUGUUGUCCUCUCCUUCGGUUGUUGUCCUCUCCUUCGGUUGUUGUCCUCUCCUUCGGUUGUUCGGUUGUUGUCCUCUCCUUCGGUUGUUCGGUUGUUGUCCUCUCCUUCGGUUGUUGUCCUCUCCUUCGGUUGUUGUCCUCUCCUUCGGUUGUUGUCCUCUCCUUCGGUUGUUGUCCUCUCCUUCGGUUGUUGUUCUCUCCAUGUGUUGGGUGUCCUCUCCUUGUGUUGUUGUCCUCUCCUUGUGUUGUGGUCAAGUCCUUGUGUUGUUGUCUGGUUCUUGUGUUGUUGUCUGGUCCUUGUGUUGUUGUCCUCUCCUUGUGUUGUUGUCCUCUCCUUGUGUUGUUGUCUGGUCCUUGUGUUGUUGUCCUCUCCUUGUGUUGUUGUCUCGUCCUUGUGUUGUUGUCCUGUCCUUGUGUUGUUGUCUCGUCCUUGUGUUGUCCUCUCCUUGUGUUGUUGUCUCGUCCUUGUGUUGUCCUCUCCUUGUGUUGUUGUCUGGUUCUUGUGUUGUUGGCCUCUCCUUGUGUUGUUGUCCUCUCCUUGUGUUGUUGUCUGGUCCUUGUGUUGUCCUGUCCUUGUGUUGUUGUCUGGUCCUUGUGUUGUUGUCUAAUCCUUGUGUUGCUGACCUCAGGGAAGUGGUGAAUGGUGAAUAUCCGAGGGGACAAGGAUGGUCACCUGAAGACAUGGACCUGAGUGAGGCAUUAAUAACUUAAUGAUCUUCCCUUUCAGAACUUCAAGAUCUUCGAGAACUUCAAGAUCUUCGAGACCUUCAAGAGCUUCGAGACCUUCAAGAACUUCGAGACCUUCAAG